rnacentral:rRNA from 1 species
AGCGAACGCUGGCGGCAGGCCUAACACACGCAAGUCGAACGCACCUUCGGGUGAGUGGCGGACGGGUGAGUAACACGUGGGAACGUACCUUUUGGUUCGGAAUAACGCAGGGAAACUUGUGCUAAUACCGAAUGUGCCCUUCGGGGGAAAGAUUUAUCGCCAUUAGAGCGGCCCGCGUUAGAUUAGCUAGAUGGUGAGGU